UUAACCNUAGUACGCUUUGGAAACUGUUUAACUUGAGUGCAGAAGGGGAGAGUGGAAUUCCAUGUGUAGCGGUGAAAUGCGUAGAUAUAUGGAGGAACACCGGUGGCGAAAGCGGCUCUNUGGUCUGUAACUGACGCUGAGGCUNGAAAGCGUGGGGAGCGAACAGGAUUAGAUACCCUGGUAGUCCACGCCGUAAACGAUGAGUGCUAGGUGUUAGGCCCUUUCCGGGGCUUAGUGCCGCAGCUAACGCAUUAAGCACUCCGCCUGGGGAGUACGACCGCAAGGUUGAAACUCAAAGGAAUUGACGGGGGCCCGCACAAGCGGUGGAGCAUGUGGUUUAAUUCGAAGCAACGCGAAGAACCUUACCAGGUCUUGACAUCCCGAUGCCCGCUCUAGAGAUAGAGUUUUACUUCGGUACAUCGGUGACAGGUGGUGCAUGGUUGUCGUCAGCUCGCGUCGUGAGAUGUUGGGUUAAGUCCCGCAACGAGCGCAACCCUUAUUGUUAGUUGCCAUCAUUCAGUUGGGCACUCUAGCGAGACUGCCGGUAAUAAACCGGAGGAAGGUGGGGAUGACGUCAAAUCAUCAUGCCCCUUAUGACCUGGGCUACACACGUGCUACAAUGGCUGGUACAACGAGUCGCAAGUCGGUGACGGCAAGCUAAUCUCUUAAAGCCAGUCUCAGUUCGGAUUGUAGGCUGCAACUCGCCUACAUGAAGUCGGAAUCGCUAGUAAUCGCGGAUCAGCACGCCGCGGUGAAUACGUUCCCGGGCCUUGUACACACCGCCCGUCACACCACGAGAGUUUGUAACACCCGAAGUCGGUGAGGUAACCUUUUAGGANCCA
rnacentral:rRNA from 1 species